rnacentral:tRNA from 1 species
AGUUGGUCUAAGGCGUCGGAUUAAGGCUCCGAUCUCGUGAGGGGCGCGGGUUCGAAUCCCGUCGGGGCC